rnacentral:rRNA from 1 species
CGAGAGGCCCAUCCGCGCAACGAAGCGAAUGGCGGGACGCUCUCCCGCAGGGGGGCGGCGCCGCCGGCCGGACGUCCUCGAGGCGGACCGAGCCGGAGCGCUCGCGUCGGGACCCGAAAGGUGGUGAUCUAUCCGUGCGCGCGGCGAAGCCGGGGGAAACCCCGGUGGAGGCCCGUCGACGGUACUGACGUGCAAAUCGUUCGUCCGACGUGCGAAUAGGGGCGAAAGACCAAUCGAACCUCCUAGUAGCUGGUUUCCGCCGAAAUUUCCCUCAGGAUAGCGGCCAUCGCGGAAACGUUUUGACCGGUAGAGCGAACGACUAGAGGUACCGGGGCCGUAACGGCCUCGACCUAUUCUCGAACUCCGAACGGGCAAGGAGCCGGGGUCGCCCGAUCGGACCCCGGACGUGAAGUCGACGAUGGUCGGUGGGCUGGUUUGGUAAGCAGAACGGGCGAUUCGGGAUGAACCGGAAGCGG